GCAGUGAUGGUUCAGUGAUAGAAUUCUUACCUUCCACGCAGGAGAUCUGGGUUUGAUUCCUGGCUAAUGCA
rnacentral:tRNA from 1 species